ensembl:lncRNA
AUCACAUCCUUUUUCACCAGGUUCCUGGGGAUCCAUAAACUGGAUGCACUGACUCCUGCCCCACAGAGCACUUUGGGGGGCUGUGGAUGUUCUUCCUGGCCAGAAAGUGUCAGUAUCAUAAAGAGACAGCUGUCUGACCUCAAAAGAAGCAUUGAACAAUAUGACAAAAGACAAGAAAGGAGGCUUUCGCUCCAGAUGUGCCAAAUUUCCUAGAAGAAAAAAAGAUCUACAAAGCUUCUCCACCACCUGUCCUGGUACGGCAAAGAGAGGACUUGACUUCACGUGAGAAAGCUUAUCAAAUAAAAAACUCUACUUGUCAGAAUUUUCUUUCUAGUUCCCAUCCAACAGAGGCACAUCCUGACGAGCUGUAGAUCUCUCCACUGACCGAGGGCAAAAAGCGACAAGGCAGACUAACUCAACGUUGGGCUGGGGGGGUCGGAGACUUCAUG